rnacentral:tRNA from 1 species
AGCCCGGUAGUGUAGCGGUCAAUCAUGGAAGGCCCUGGAUCUUCUGACGGCGGUUCGAAUCCGCUCCGGGCUA